GAUUAACAGGCUUCUGCAGCACUUGAUGGCCUGCAGAGGAGUUAUCAGCAGGUUCGUCUUUUUCCCAGAAACCGGCUCUGCUCCCAGACAUCCUGGUUCGUUGCUGUCUCUGCAUUUUUAAUGGGUUUGAGUGGAAAUGGCUGCUGCCAGUCCUGGUGAGAGCCGGGAUGCAUCCCUGACAGAUCACCAGGUUGUUUUGACGUCCAUCACAGCGAAGCAGACCGACUUCUGAAGAGCGUGACGUCACGUGCAAAGGCUCAUCAGCACAAAGCUGAAAAUGCAUCUGGAAAUGAUGGGAAAGUGAAAAUGAUUUUUCAUGACAAUCCAUCCACUGCAUGACAAGUCGAGAUGAUUCGCCGGGUGAAUGAAACGCAACGCCUCAGCAGUGAUCAUCAUUAUAGCGCUUGACUGGCCACAUCAGACUUUAUGGCUCUUUUUGAAGAGAAAAUCACUGAAAUAAAUUGGGAUCCUGCAUUGAGGCUCAGUUCUCGGUUAAAUGUAUUUUGAGUCCUGACGUUUAAACACUGAGUCGUUCUGCUGUUUGUGCAUCUUUCAGUGCUGAACUUCAAUAAUUUAUCUGAUUAGAAGAUUCUCCUGGAGUUGGUUGAUUGAAGUAGUUUUGUUACUUUCUAACAUUGUUUUUUUUUAAACCAUUUAUUGUUUAUGAACUGUGUCCGUCCACUUGUAUGCAUGUCUGUCCUGAGAAAAACAUCAAAAAUCAACGAGCUACAUCAUAAAACUGAUCUGAAAAAGGCCACAACAAAGCAGAGACAGACGGAGAAACUUCCUGUUUUUACUGAUGGACGGAGGGUCAGAAUAUGUUUGUUUUUUAAUUGACAACCCUGAACUGAAACAUGAGCAAAGAACCAGAAUGAGCCGCUGCAGCCUUCCAACAAUAAAAUAAUGUGUUUCAAUAAAGAGCAGAAUAAAA